UCCAACAAGCUGACAUUAUCCACGAAAACCUGAUCAAUGCUCUGAAUGUUUGUUUUUUUGGGGGAUUUUUUGAGUAUCAAGCAACUUUGAUUCCAACCACUGAGACCGGGAGCUAAUCUUCGAGAAACAAGAAUGAAGCUCAGCAACACUCAUCAUUUCCCGGCCAGGGCGCAGCAUCCUCCAGCUCCACCUGGGGGACAGCCAAGCACUUCCAGGUCAGAUGCAAGUCAGCUGUCAUCUUUCCAGAGCAGAUUGAUUACAAAAUCAUGGAGUUCCAGUUGGCACAAACAAGGCACAGAGUUCAGACAGGAAACAGAUUACAACUGUCGGAGCAAAUGUCUGAACCAUUUCGACUUCCUUCCGAUCUUCUCCAGACCUUCACCAUUUGGAUUUCUAUCAAGCCAAAGUGAGUGUCGACUCAUCGCUUGUUUCUCAUCUUAGCUGGGAUAUGGAUGGAAAAAGAUGACUGUGGAUACACUCACCCAGCCUGCCCCACCAGUCCGGCAUUUCAUCUCUGUGUGAUUAAAUUGGAGACAUUCACACCCGAUUUGUUAAUUCAUCAAAAUGGUACCUUGUGGGAUGCAGAGGUUGAAUUAAUCACGUUUUGGGCAAAUUCAUGUUGGCUUGCAUAAAGCUCAAACAGGCAUGCAUUACACAUUAGUCUUCUGGUGAAGGUGUCCCACCAGAAACUCAUCACAUUAAUAUAUUACCCCAGUCGCAAGGUCUGAAGUGAGAAAGAAUGAAUGAGAGAGACGCAGAGAGAGACUGUGUCUAUUGGCGGAGAUGACAAGUUAUACAGUGAAUACAGAUGAUGAACUUCAUAUAUCAACCAAAAUAUCAACCAAAAGAUCUAUGAAAUGUCUUUUGAGGAGCAAAACCAA